CGGCAACCAAAAACAAUAAUGCCCGCCAAACAACUACGAGUGAAAACUUAAAACUUAAAAGACUUGACGGUACUUCAAACUCGACCUAGAGGAGCCUGUCUACUAACCGAUAACCCACGAUUAACCCAACCACUUCUGGCCAUCCAGCCUAUAUACCGCCGUCGCCAGCCCACCUUGUGAAAGAAACCAAGUGGACAAAACAGUACUACACUAACACGACAGGUCGAGGUGUAGCUCAUGAAGUGGAACAAGAUGGGCUACAUUAUCUAACUCAGAUUAAACAGACAAAGCUAUGCAAACUUAGCUCUCAAAGGAGGAUUUAGCAGUAAGAUGAGAACACAAUACUCAACUGAAAACACCGCAAUGAAGUGCGUACACACCGCCCGU
rnacentral:rRNA from 1 species